UCUUAUUUAAACUUGAGUACAAUUAUUUGUGCAUCACAAAAUAAAUGAAUGUUACAAGAAAUUCAUAAUUUUCUAUAAAUGAAACUAAUAUAGCACAAUUGCCGCUUGACUCACCACCCGGUCGUCUCUCGCGACUACCACGGGUCCGACAUGCUUCCUCUCAAAGUCUUCUAUGAUCGAAUGACCAAUGGAAUCAAUAAUCCACCUCAAACCCCAAUCCUAAAGCUCAAGGCAUCGAGUGGAUCAUAUCACAUGAGAAUAACAAGUUGCGGAGUACGUGAAAAGAAAAAAGAUGCAUUUUUAUAACCUUCCAAAAUCAUACAUCAUAAUUGUUUUUAAUAAAGGAUAAGUUUCCAUGAUUGUUUGUAACCUCCAAUCUAUUUUCUUUUUAUUUUGAUCUUUACUUGUGAAAAGCAGUCAUUUUAUUUUAUAAAGUUAUUAUAUGUUUUGUAUCUACGGGAUAUUGAGUCCUAGAGGUGUAGCCAACACGGAACAUCUAGGCAGCUCAUUUGCAACGACAAUGUACAGGCAGCAAAUGGAAGCCACACGUUGCACAACGGUGGAAACAACAAAACGUGGGGGGCAAAAAAAGAAAUCCUCGAUCUCCAUGAUCGCAUCGCCACCACACAAAAAUCUUGCUCAAAGUCGUUUAAAAAACUUCCUCAAAGCUGCUCCGACAAUAUCAAAACAACAUCAGGUUGAGAUCGAUAUCUUUUUUUCCUCUCCUUUUCCACCUCUUUUUCUUUUUUUUCUCUCCCUCUUUUUUCCCCCUAUUUUCCCCUCCAUUAUCUGUUCCUCACGGUCUCGGUCUCACGCGUCCUUAACCUUUUCUUCACGCGAGCUGCUCUUCUGCGGUCCCAGCACUGCUGCUGCUCCGCCUUCACCAUUGUCCACUCGACCGACUGCUGCUGCUGCUAAUCCGCCGCCGCAGCCCCAACCUCCCAGCUGAGCGCUGCUCCAGCUGUUCCGUUGCCGCUGGCCCAGCUCGCGCCCACACCGGACCGCGCCGGCACCAGUCGGAGCUUGAACAGAGCAAGAGGAUGUGCCCAAGCCAGUCAUCGAUUGAUAGGGCCAUUUCUUCUCCUCCCCUUCCACCUUUUUUGGCUCCACCGCUGGGACAGCGUGAGAGAGAUGAGUGCCGGGGCAAACUCGCGCCGCUGUAAAGCUUCUUGCCGGAGCACGCGUGCGGUUCGCACGCGGCUCCGUCAAGGAGCUUACCCGUGAUGCAAGGGGAGCUUAGCGGUGGUGUGGCUCGCGCGUGGCUGCGACGACGCGAGCAGAUCCGAGGGUUCCCUCGCGCGUCAGCACGGCGGUUGGCGCUGGCGCUGGCCUCUACGGCGGGUGAUUUUUCCUCUACACCUAUCGAGGAUUUGGGGAUUUCGGAGAUUUCGAGGAUUUGGGACUGCCACGGCAGUUGGCAGCAGCGCUAGCCUCUACGACGGGAGGAGGAGGUCGUCCUCCCCGUCAUGCGGCAGGCGAUUCCCGACGAGCAGGAGGUCGUCCUUGCCUGGAGGAGUGGGUGAUGAUGACGGAUUCAAGAGGCGGCGCCGGGGAGCAGGGAGGAUGAAGUGGGAGCGAUUUGAAAUUUGAACGGCGCAUUCCUAUUGGCCCAGGGCAGACCCACGCCACCACGCGCGCCAGUGGUUCUGCGGCAGAGCCGCUGGGGUGUCGACGCCCCCUUACUGUCUUUUUAUAGUGGCCUGUUCGCUUCAGCUUAUAAGUCGGCUGAAAAGUCGAAAUGGCUGAUUUAUUGUGAGAGGAAAACACUGUUUGAUAGCUGAUAAGCCAGCUGAAUAAGCUGAAGCGAACAGGCUGGUGUCUGUCGAUUUUUUGUAUGGUUGAGAUGGCUUGUAUUGGUGAUCAGGUCCUACCUGUAUUAUUGUUUAUUUCUCCUGCAGAUGAUAUGUGGCCGUUUUUUAGCA